rnacentral:rRNA from 1 species
UACAGAGGUCCCAAGCGUUGUUCGGAAUCACUGGGCGUAAAGGGAGCAUAGGCGGCGUGGUAAGUCAGAUGUGAAAUCCCGGGGGCUCAACCCCAGAACUGCAUCCGAUACUGCCGUGCUUGAGGGUUGGAGAGGUAGCUGGAAUUCUCGGUGUAGCAGUGAAAUGCGUGGAUAUCGAGAGGAACACUCGUGGCGAAGGCGAGCUACUGGACAACAUCUGACGCUGAGGCUCGAAGGCUAGGGGAGCAAAAGGG